rnacentral:lncRNA from 1 species
AUAACACCAGCAUACAUUAUAUAUCACAAGCACUCACAUAUUUCAUCAAUCCAUCGAAAAUCCAUUAAAAUUGAACAUCACAAGUUCAAUAUUACAAGUCCCGCACAAUUGCAUCAAAGUUCAACAUGACAAGUACUGUGGCGAAUACAUCAAAGUUCAACAUGACAUGACCCGCACAAAUGCAUCAAAGUUCAACGUGGCUACUGUGACCAUCACAAAAUGCAUUAAAGUUCAACAUGACAACUCUAUUAUUAAAAGGUCAACAUAGCUACUGCGGCAAAGACUCAAAGGGUGGCCUCCCGGGCUACUGUGGCGAAGACUCAAAGGGUGGCCUCCCGGUUGUCGGUGAAGGAUUGACGGGAUCAACCGCCGGUGGUGCAUUAGCGUUUGAACCCGCCGAUGGAGGCUGCACAAAAGAGAGGAGAUGGCAUGUUUUAGACUCGAUCAAAAAUUAAAAAUUUGGGCAGCACCUCCCCUGCACGGGGAGGUUUCCAACCUGCAAGAAAACAAUGGCUCGAAGGCCGACAAUACCAACGGCACGAUGGCCGGAAGUCACAACGGCACGAAGGCCAACCAUCCCAACGGCACGAAGGCCAACAUAAUUCAACUUUCAUACUCACAGGAGUGUAGUAUCCAGCCGCUAGCACACCUUGUCCUUGCCCCAUGCUUUGAAUGAGCUGGGUCACCUGAGCGGUCAGCUGCGCCACCUGAGUGGUCAGCUGCGCGUGCUGAGCGGUCAGCUGCGCGUGCGACUCCUUUGUUUCAUUCAGCUCGGCCUGCAGUGUUUCAAUCACAUGUGUCAGUGUACCAAUUUCAUUAAUAGAGAAGAGUUACAGCCCCUAGACACAGGUACACUAAUUCAAGGUAUUAUUCUUGAGUGCACAUAAAGCAAACUAGCCUAGCCUAGCUAUAGGUCUCCCUGCAGGUUAGUUUGCUUGCUGGAGGUAGCUAAUUGCCCAACUGAACAUGCAUAGCAAGCAAACAGAUCGAUUGGAGGUAGUACUCUAAUUACUUUGGCCUCUUCAUGAUUUCUCUUAACUAUCAGUGUACUUGUAGCAUGCAUGUGGCUAUUAUAUAUAUACUAUCAGUGUCAUUAGGCAAUCACAUGCAGUAAAUUAAAGUUUGCCUGGAACCCUAUCUAGCUAAGCUUAUUAUAUGACAGAAGCAGGGAGCAUACAGCAGCUGAUCAUGGAAAUCAAUGAAUUCCUUCAGACAAAAAGGUAUACAUGGGUAUAUAUUUUCAGCAUGUCACAUCCAUUCCUUCAGACAAAAAGAGAGAGUUUUUUGUUCUACAUGGACAGAGUAGGACACAGUAGGACACAGCAUGUGGCCUCCUAGCCAUCUGGAAGGGUUUAUGGACAGAGUGCGGUAUCUUCAGUUGAAGCCUCAUUUCCAUGCCUAACCAGAGCAUGGUGAGAUGGGCGAGAUGGAGUAGAAACAUGGCAAUUCGCUACUAGAACUCGAGAACAGGAAACCUUGUGGGUGGGGAUCGAGGAGCGUACCGUGGUGGGAGUAGGCGUAAACGGCCCGCCAGGUGUAGAUGUGGUCGCCGGGCCUGAUCUCCGACCGCUCCACACCCGGUUUGACAGCAGGCGACGCGGGGAGCCCCGGGGGCGCGGCGAGUUCGGGCGGCAACGGAGCCCCUCGACAGAGCUCGCUUGCGACGGAUCCCCGCGGGCGCGGCGAGUUCGGGCGGCGCGGGGAGGGGCGAGCAGGACGACGGCGGACGGCGGCAGAGAGGGGGGCGCUGGGGCGCGGGACGGCGGCGGCGGCGCAGCUGGGUGGGCGCGAUUGGGACUUAGGGCGGGCGGGCGCGCUGCACGCGUGUCCGGUUGGGACUUAGGGUUCCUAUUGGGACGAUUGGGCCGUCUUUUUUUUCUCAAAUUUACGUGAUUGGGCCGGCCUUUGCCAUGUAUAAAAAAAAGUCCAGGCCUGGUCCACCAGCAGAUCAAACUUUGCCGAGCGCCCCAGGAUGCGCACACGGCAUAUCAAACUUUGCCGAGUGCCCUACAAAGGCGCUCUGUAAAGUUUUUCUUUUUUUUUGUUAUUUUUGAUCCCAGUUUUUUUAUGUGGCCUACACACAUUAUUUAAAACCUAGUUUAAAUGUUUCGGGAAAUUUUGAAUUACUUUGAUAUAUUUCCUUAGUUUAUUUCAUUUCUUUGAUUUUUUUUAAUAUUUCUAACUUGAACUGCAGGUACAUGGAAUAGUGCAAUUUAGUUCUUCGAAAAAUGUUAUUCAUGUUAUUUGAUGUAUGUUGAGUCCCUAUCCACAAACUUGCAUCAAAUUUCGGGCAUCUUAUUUCACGUAACAUGACGAGGAACUUGGCCGGAAAGUGAUUUUAAAUUAUAUGAAAUGCAAACGAAGUCCGAAAAUAACGAAACUUGCGGAGGCAUCAUGUUACUGCAUGUGUAGGCUAUGGUAAAAAAAUGAACAGAUUUUGAGUAAUUUGUGACGUCAGUUGCCUAAAACCCACACAUAUCCACAUGCGAUAACAAGUUGUCACAUGCACACACGUGUGGGUUUUAGGCAUCGUGAGUCGCAAAUUACUCCAAAUCAUCCAAUUUUUUUACCACAAGAUCAGCAUGUGAUUACAAGACUUCUCGACAAGUUUCGUGAUUUUUCAGACUUCGUUUCCUUUUUAUAUAAUUAAAAUUUACUUUUCCUAUAACUAACACAACAUAUUACGUCAUCGAGAUGCUUGACAUUUCAUUUGACUCCGUGCAUACGGCCUCAUCAAAUGAUACGUGUCACGAAUAUCAUAUUUUGGAGGAUAAAAUUCCAUUAUAACAUGGAUGUGCAGUUCAAAUUUGAAAUACGCCGAUAAAAGCAAGGAAACAAAAUAAAUUAACGAAAUAUAUCAAAAAAAAUCAAAAUUUCACCAAACUUUAGAUUAGAGCUUCAAAUACAGUCAGAAGGCUACACAAAAAAACUCGGGUCCAAAAUCCAAAAAAAAAAAAAUUUGCCGAGACUUUGCCGAGUGCUAGUGCAUGAGGCACUCGGCAAAGUUUUGAUAAAAAAAUUAAUAAAAGAAUUUUGCCGAGCGCCUAACGGGUAACACUCGGCAAAAUUUAACGGGAGGGAAAUGCCGUCACGGUGGUAGAAAUGUUUGCCGAGUGGUCUCUUUGCCGAGUGUUGUUACACUCGGCAAAAAGUUGUUUUACCGAGUGCGGGAGUUUGCCGAGCGCUUGUCACUCGGCAAAAUGUUCUUUGCCAAGUGCUAAAUUUUGCCGAGUGCUACGCUCGGCAAACUAAAUCUUUGCCGAGUGCCCCGAUAAACAGCACUCGGCAAAAUAUGAGGCACUCGGCAAUGUCCCGUAGUGGUGCUUUUUUAUAUGUCAGGGCUUGUGAUUAUGGGAAAAUGGCAUGCGAUUCAGGUUGCUUAUAUAUAGAAGGAGCUCAGCCGAUCAAAAAGAAAGGAGCUCAGAGAGCAUGUGAAAUUCCAAAGAUGCUCUCUCGCAUGUGUUAGAACUUAGAAGAAUAACUGAUGAAAGUUCUGUUGUUGAAGUGAAGAUGCUUUCCAAUAACAAGGCAGCAGCUAGCUGUGCCUUGUCUGCCCAUAUAUGAGGUGAAGUGACCAAGGUGGCCUCCAGUGGCUGAAGAUCAUGAACCCAUCUGUCACUUAUAGUAGUUUUGCAACUGCUCACCACAAAUAUACACACAGAUCGCCAUCAAAGUUACUAUGAUCUAGUAGUGCCAUGCCCUGUAAAUGGGACCUGGAUGCCAGACAUGCAUAGGGGAGCAUGCGGUUGCAUCUUGUUCAGCAAAUAAAGGAGAAAACUUCGUCUAUAAGGUUGCUUCCAUGAAGUUGUAUACUUUCUUUUUAGCAGAUACAUAUUUAACUCGUGUUGAGAGAAAGCAAAUAAAAAAAACUGAGUGAAAUCCGUUUAACCCCUUGAACUUGUCGCUGACUCCAAAAACUCCCUACACUCGCGAGAAAAAAAAAAGAACUUACAUUCUCCAACUUUCAAAACUGACAAAAUCACUAUACAACCUUACAACAAUAUAAGGGUGGUUUUGAGACAUGUCAUCCUUUCCUUUUUAGUUAAAAACAAGAAAUACAAGCAUGCAUUCAUCUCUCCGGAACCGCAGAAGAGAAGACGUGGUAUUAAUUAGUCGCUGUUGGCCACUUGGCCUUGCACCUGUGGAACUUGGCCUCGUCGGCGCAACCGGCGGGUUUGCUGCACCGGAGGACGACGACGUCGCAUGCGCGGUAGUCCGCGACCACGUUGAAUCCGUACACCACUAAGGUACCACGCGUACCAAUUGCCGGCGACGCCGCCGAUUGUGAACUCCGGCAGUAUCAGUCCGGUCGAUCCCUCGAUCGGUAGCACGCAGCUAGCGCAUGAAGCCGGCCCAGUCGACAGUCGUCAAUGGCCGUGGGAAGGCGGUGCUCGGGGGGCGAGGCAGUACCCCACUACCCCACUGAUGACAACACGAUUCUCCGCGGCGAGGCGGAGGCAGAACACGUGCAAGUUCAGUUCACUAGACGCUCAGUUCAGCAGAUAGCUAGCUUCAGGAGAAUAGCGCCGACGCCAGGUAGCAAGGCGGCCUUUUCAGAUCACAUACUACACAGUACGUGCCGGCCCUUACAGAGGACCUCAUGCCGACGUCGUCCAUGGCCUCGACGGCGUGUGACAGAAAGGAGUACACGUCCUUGCGGCAAAGAACUUCAUGUCCUAGCUCCAUCUGUUGCACUGCUUGCCAUCCAUAUGUAUCUUGGCCAGGUCUUGUCGCACUCGGCGACUCAAUUCGGUCUCAGCUCGUGUUUAGCAACGAUCCAAUCUAAAGGUAGGUUAACAGUAAACAGGAAAUCUGGAUGUCACCCCAUACCCAAUCUAGAGGAAGAGUAGUGCAUGUAGUGGAUGACAUAGGUUAAAAAUUUAAAUUGCAAAAAGUCUCCAUGCCUUGACAAAAUUUUGCACAUCAAAUAAAAGAGCGCAUUGAGAAGGUUUAAGAAAUAACUACGCAUGCAAAGGAACAAAUUAAUGUCAAAUAUCAACUGAUUUAUUAACUGGAAGCAGGCCCUAUAAAUAUUAUCAAUGAACAAGAGCUGUUUGCACUACCAACAGUACCAAAAAAUAGCGAGGAUCAACACUCCAUGGAUCAAUGAUCAACUCAAUACUUCUAUUACACAUUUCUCUCGGUAAAACAUUUAUAGCAUUUCUGGAAGCUCCUUUCAAAGCCAAACACAAAUUAAGCCUGUUCCUUAGUUGAGUCUUU